rnacentral:lncRNA from 1 species
ACGAAGCGACUUACACCUGAGCGCCUUUCGAAUUCCUCAGUUCAUUCCUCCUUGGCCUUCAGUGGUCCAAAUGAGAAUAUUAUGAACACACAUAGAAGAUUAGAAUUAGAACUAGGCAGUGGACGACUCCCAAAGAAUGAAGGCAAAUAUUCUGGUUGUCCUAAAUCAAGGAAUUUGUGUCCAUUGCCACUGGAAAUAUCUAAAAAGCAAACACUUACGAGGGAGAGUAACAUUCCUCGUGUUCCUGUAGCUACUUCUAAUCAUAUGAGUCCAGUGAUGGUUUUUUCAAGUGUUGGACCUUCAGUUCCCAGCUCUCUUGGUAAUCACAGAAAUAGCACCCAAGCUCCAGGAUCUGAUUGCCUCAAUGUCUCUUCAGAGCU